rnacentral:lncRNA from 1 species
UGCAGCGAUAUCUGGGUGUCCGGGCCUGCCCACGCUGUGACCCCAGCACAGAGCCAGCUGCCAGGCUUGGUGGGGCCUCUGGGAGCACGUGGAUAGUGCCAAAAGAGGAGGUGGGAACAGACAGAGUGAGGAAGGAGUGAAUGAGAGGACAGAGAAAGCUGCAGCCCACAGAUCUUCCAUGACAAAGCAGAUGGUCAUAUCCAGAGGAACUGUGGCCUGUGUAGAACCCACGGUAGAGUACAUCUUCCUGGGGGACAGUGGCCCUUGGAGAAGCCAUGCCGGAUUGGAGAGACUGUGUGAGAGGGAACCACGAGGAGAAACUCUGACUGACAGUACUGCUCUCCGUUCCCACUCUGCUGGUUGGGGCAUACAUUGCUUGGUUUCCAGUGAAGUGGAGCCUAGCUAAGCUCCUUCAAUACGUGGACAAGUCUGAAACACAA